rnacentral:rRNA from 3 species
UCGACCUCAAAUCAGGUAGGACUACCCGCUGAACUUAA